rnacentral:lncRNA from 1 species
UGUGCAACAUUUCCAGAAAUGUACCAGAGUUGUUCGUGAUCAUAACCCCAAAUCAUUGGUACCUCGAUGUUUAGAGGGGAAACAGCAUUGGCUGGGCAAGCUGGGGCAGGGAACGUGAUGAACAGUGGGCUGGAAUAAGUUAACUGGAGGAGGGGAGGCGUCUCAGGAAGGGAGAAUAGCAUGAACAGCAGCAUAGACGUGAGAAUAACCAUCUGGAGUGAUGAACCUAUGCUGAGUAGAAAGUUCCAGAAGGCUGCAUAAGGGAGGUGUGUGAACAGCAGAAGCAGGACAAACCUGAGAUGGGAGAAGAUGGCUAAACUGAAGCAACUUGGAGCUAGAAGAUAGGCUGCAUCUGCUCAGUUCACCUGCGCAGACCAAAAACAGUGCACGCUGUAGGCGGCCCAGUCCAGCUGAAUUUCAUCAGAUGGGCAUGUGUUUCCUUCCCCAACUGCUGGCCUCAGCUUCUCAGAAGAAAGGACAAAGGACAGAACUGCUGCUGAGCCAAGGAAUCAGAGCAGAAUCCCAGCACACUGGCUCCAGGAGAGCCGGACGUCCCCUAGGCUGCCCACCAACCAGGAUGAAAAUCGAGACAUCAGAGCCUCUGUCAUUUAUAUGGUCCCCUAGCAGUGCCCUGGGCCUGAAUCCUACAAAGCUGGUCCUUCAGCUGGGAGCCAUAUUGCUUCAAUUUCAUGCUCCAUCACAAGAGUAAGUCGACUGCUGAGUUGUAACGUAUGAACUUCAGCCAGAAAUUCACCCUCCCACUUCUGAGUAUAAUAGCAGUCAGUCCCUAGGAGUGAAAUGUGCUCCUUUUUUGGGUCAACAGUAGAGCAAGCCAGAAUUAACGCAGCCCUUUUAGAAGUCAUCUUGCUAAUGACAUCAGGAAAGGUUGAAGCAUUUGGCAAGUAAUCGUAUAUUAUUGCUUUACAUUAUUAUGUAACUUUUCCUUAUGUGUUUCUUCUUGCUUUUAAAAAAAUUAGAUCUUAAGGUCUUCGAUAAUAGUGAUUUUAAAAAA